GACGAACGCUGGCGGCGUGCUUAACACAUGCAAGUCGAGCGGUAAGGCCCUUUCGGGGGUACACGAGCGGCGAACGGGUGAGUAACACGUGGGUGACCUGCCCUCAGCUCUGGGAUAAGCCUGGGAAACCGGGUCUAAUACUGGAUAUGACUCCAUGACGCAUGUUGUGGGGUGGAAAGCCUUGUGCGGCUGAGGAUGGGCCCGCGGCCUAUCAGCUUGUUGGUGGGGUGAUGGCCUACCGAGGCGACGACGGGUAGCCGGCCUGAGAGGGCGACCGGCCACACUGGGACUGAGACACGGCCCAGACUCCUACGGGAGGCAGCAGUGGGGAAUCUUGCGCAAUGGGCGAAAGCCUGACGCAGCGACGCCGCGUGAGGGAUGACGGCCU
rnacentral:rRNA from 1 species